AGAGCGAACGCUGGCGGCAGGCUUAACACAUGCAAGUCGAGCGCCCCGCAAGGGGAGCGGCAGACGGGAGAGUAACACGUGGGAACGUACCUUUCGGUUCGGAACAACCCAGGGAAACUUGGGCUAAUACCGGAUACGCCCGCAAGGGGAAAGAUUUAUCGCCGGAAGAUCGGCCCGCGUCUGAUUAGCUAGUUGGUGAGGUAACGGCUCACCAAGGCGACGAUCAGUAGCUGGUCUGAGAGGAUGAUCAGCCUCACUGGGACUGAGACACGGCCCAGACUCCUACGGGAGGCAGCAGUGGGGAAUAUUGGACAAUGGGCGCAAGCCUGAUCCAGCCAUGCCGCGUGGGUGAUGAAGGCCCUAGGGUUGUAAAGCCCGUUUUGGCGGGGAAGAUAAUGACGGUACCGCAGAAGAGCCCCGGCUAACUUCGCGCCAGCAGCCGC
rnacentral:rRNA from 1 species